AGCGAACGCUGGCGGCAGGCUUAACACAUGCAAGUCGAGCGGGCGUAGCAAUACGUCAGCGGCAGACGGGUGAGUAACGCGUGGGAACAUACCUUUUGGUUCGGAACAACACAGGGAAACUUGUGCUAAUACCGGAUAAGCCCUUACGGGGAAAGAUUUAUCGCCGAAAGAUUGGCCCGCGUCUGAUUAGCUAGUUGGUGAGGUAACGGCUCACCAAGGCGACGAUCAGUAGCUGGUCGAGAGGAUGAUCAGCCACAUUGGGACUGAGACACGGCCCAAACUCCUACGGGAGGCAGCAGUGGGGAAUAUUGGACAAUGGGCGCAAGCCUGAUCCAGCCAUGCCGCGUGA
rnacentral:rRNA from 1 species